AUCCAGCUGAUGAGUCCCGAAUAGGAUGAAACGCGCAUCAAACUGGAU
rfam:Schistosoma margrebowiei strain Zambia genome assembly, scaffold: SMRZ_scaffold0001783